UUUAACAAAAACAUGUCCUUUUGAUUAUAAUUUAAGGUCUAAUCUGCCCACUGAGGAAUUAAAUGGCCGCGGUAUUUUGACCGUGCAAAGGUAGCAUAAUAAUUAGUUUUUUAAUUGGAAGCUGGUAUGAAUGAUUGAAUGAGAAAAUGACUGUCUUAAAAUAAUUUUUUUAGAAUUUUAUUUUUAAGUAAAAAAGCUUAAAUAAUAUUAAAAGACGAGAAGACCCUAUAGAGUUUUAUAUUUUUAUAAUUUUAAUUAUUAAUGGUUUUGAAUAAAUUAUAAUUUAAAAAUAUUUUGUUGGGGUGAUAGAAAAAUUAAAUAAACUUUUUUUAUUUAUUUACAUUUAUAAAUGAAUAAAUGAUCCAAAUUUUUUGAUUAUAAGAUUAAAUUACCUUAGGGAUAACAGCGUAAUUUUUUUUGAGAGUUCUUAUCGAAAAAGGAGAUUGCGACCUCGAUGUUGGAUUAAAGUUAAGUUUUGGUGUAGAAGCUAAAAUAUUAGGUCUGUUCGACCUUUAAAACUUUACAUGAUCUGAGUUCAGACC
rnacentral:rRNA from 1 species